rnacentral:sRNA from 1 species
CACACCUCCGACUUCCGCACGGAUGACUCCCAGCCCCCAACGCUGGGCCAGGAGAUCCUGGAGGAUAUCUCCAGCCCAGCAGAGAUGGCCCUCUGCAGUCUAGCCGUAUUUUGCCCUUCCACCAUUCUUGGCUGUGACCUGGUCCAGCUGGGCCCUGAAUGAAUGUUUGCUUCUCAGGCCAGUAUUCUCCCCUCCUCACCAAGCCACCUCCACACAGCUCUAAGGAAGCUCCCCCAGGUCCAGGCCUCAGGGGAGCCCUGCCCUCAGGCCGACCCUGCUGCCUUUUCAGAGCCCUCCCUGCCCUCCUCGGAAGUUGCUGAUGAACCUCCUACCCUCACCAAGGAAGAACCAGUUCCACUAGAGACACAGGUCGUUGAGGAAGAGGAAGACUCAGGUGCUCCGCCCCUGAAGCGCUUCUGUGUGGACCAACCCACAGUGCCGCAGACGGCGUCAGAAAGCUAGCACCGUCCCGGCCCUCCGCCUCCUGGCCCUGCCUCUAUUUAUUGCAUUCUGGUUCUGGCCGCGCUGCGUUGCUGGGGUAAGGGCAAGCACUGGGGUCAAGAGCCUGCACACAUGAGCCUUCCGGGCUGGAAGGCUGGCGUAGGACUUGGGGCUGUAGCAUCAUCUUCCCGACCCUGGCACCUGUGUCUACUUGCUCCCGAGAAGAGGAGCGCUCAUGUCUUUUUUGCACCCCAAGUUGGCUGGAGCAUCGGCCACCCCAAGAUUCAUCUGUGACCUCCAGGCAGCAGUCUCUGCUCCAGAACCUCUGGACGGAGCUGCUGGCAGCUUCUGCGAGAAGAGAGAGAUGUGGAAGGCACCCUCUAGAAGAGAGUGUGCCUCAGGUUACUUGAACUUGAAUGGAGACUGUAGACUCCCGGACUUUCCCCUAGGACUGGGGGCCCUGUAGGCUGCUGUUGGAGAAGGACUGGGUAGAGACAUUGGAGGGAAGGGAAGGGCUUUUCUCCACACAAGGGCAGAGAGUCCGUCUAGAUUUCUUGCUGUCCUGCCAGUUCUGCCCAUGCCUGAGGUGGUCCUACCUCUCACGGGCACCCUAGCUGCUGACAGCCCUUUGUGGCCGCCGUCCCCAUCCCCUGCCCUCAGCACACACGUCCGCACACACGCAGCUUUCUUUGUUCUCACCUCUACCUGUCAUUCCAGCAUCCCUGCCUCCUGUCACAAACUGCCCCAGCAAGAAUUUGAGGUUCUGACAACAGUACCCAUCCCCCACAGUACCCCUUCAGCUCAGUUUCUAGAAAGCUCCCUUUUCUUUGAAAUCUGCAUGUUGAAUUGAACUUUGUGAUUUUAUUUUUUGUUUCAAAAAAGUUUAAGAAAAUGGAAAUGGGCAACAGUGAGUGAAGACAUAUUUUAGCACUGAAUAGAAUAUUUUUAAAAUUAAACUAUUUGAAAUAUG